AUGCAAACGUUGUGGAAACAAGUGUCUCGUAACCGUUGUGGAAUAAUCGAGUCGUACGGAAAGUUUUGUUACCGAACUUCGUUAAUUUUCGAGUCAAAGAAUGAGCGAAAGGCCCUUUAUGAAAAUAGCAGCGGUUUUUCCACAACGGCGAGGGGCAGCGGCGGCAAGAAGUCGAGCGUCGCGGUGCUAGCCUGCGGUCCGGCAGCCACCGUGGCACCGCCGGUGCUGGCGCCCAGCCCCGUUGCCAUGGCAAAGCCAGCCCCCGCCGUGGCGGAGACCACUCCUCUGGCCGCCAUGCCGCCGGCGCCUGCGUCCCCCACGGUGGUGGACCUGGCGGCACCCAGUUCAGCGGCCGUUGCGCCGCAAGAUGCCACGGUGGAGGACCUGGUGGUGACCAGUCCAGCGGCCGCCAUGGCUAGAAUUGGUAGCUAG
rnacentral:rRNA from 1 species